UCCUUGGAGGACUAGUGGUUAGGCCACGGUGUUCUCACCACUGGGGCCUGGGUUUGAUUCCCAGCCAGGGAA